rnacentral:rRNA from 1 species
CCUACGGGAGGCAGCAGUGGGGAAUAUUGCACAAUGGGGGAAACCCUGAUGCAGCGACGCCGCGUGAAGGAAGAAGGAUUUCGGGAUGUAAACUUCUAUCAGCAGGGAAGAAAAUGACGGUACCUGACGAAGAAGCCCCGGCUAACUACGUGCCAGCAGCCGCGGUAAUACGUAGGGGGCAAGCGUUAUCCGGAUUUACUGGGUGUAAAGGGAGCGUAGGUGGUGAUGCAAGUCAGAAGUGAAAGCCCGCAGCUCAACUGCGGGACUGCUUUUGAAACUGUAUGACUAGAUUGCAGGAGAGGUAAGUGGAAUUCCUAGUGUAGCGGUGAAAUGCGUAGAUAUUAGGAGGAACACCAGUGGCGAAGGCGGCUCACUGGACUGUAAAUGACGCUGAGGCUCGAAAGCGUGGGUAGCAAACAGGAUUAGAUACCCUUGUAGUC